rnacentral:rRNA from 1 species
UUAUGAACUUAAAAUUUUGACGGUAUUUAAUUUUCUAGAGGAGUAUGUAAUUUAAUCGUCAAUACCCGUUAAAUCUUACUUAUUUUCUUUUUGUAUAUCUCCGUUGUCAGAUUUUAUUUAAAAUAAAAGAAAUUCUCAAAAUAAAAAAUUUUAAUACUUCAGGUCAAGGUGCAAAUAUAUAAGUUAUUAUGUACUACAAUCAAUAUAAUGAAUUGGAUUUUUAUAUGAAAAGAUUUUUGAAAUUGAAUUUAUAAGUAAAAAUAGAUAUAAAGCUUAUUUGAAAUUUUAUUAAAUAUGU